AACGAACGCUGGCGGCAUGCCUAACACAUGCAAGUCGAACGAGCCCUUCGGGUCUAGUGGCGCACGGGUGCGUAACGCGUGGGAACCUGCCCUUAGGUUCGGAAUAACUCCCCGAAAGGGGUGCUAAUACCGGAUAAUGUCUUCGGACCAAAGAUUUAUCGCCUUUGGAUGGGCCCGCGUUGGAUUAGCUAGUUGGUAGGGUAAAAGCCUACUAAGGCGACGAUCCAUAGCUGGUCUGAGAGGAUGAUCAGCCACACUGGGACUGAGACACGGCCCAGACUCCUACGGGAGGCAGCAGUGGGGAAUAUUGGACAAUGGGCGAAAGCCUGAUCCAGCAAUGCCGCGUGAGUGAUGAAGGCCUUAGGGUUGUAAAGCUCUUUUACCCGGGAUGAUAAUGACAGUACCGGGAGAAUAAGCUCCGGCUAACUCCGUG
rnacentral:rRNA from 1 species